CUGCGACUCGAUAAGCACCUGGUAGCGGCGCAUGUCGACGAUGUGGUCGACGUGCUCGAUGUCGACCGGGCACUGUUCGACGCAGGCGCCGCAGG
rnacentral:tRNA from 1 species